AGACCCGAAACCCGGUGAUCUAGCCAUGGGCAGGUUGAAGGUUGGGUAACACUAACUGGAGGACCGAACCGACUAAUGUUGAAAAAUUAGCGGAUGACCUGUGGCUGGGGGUGAAAGGCCAAUCAAACCGGGAGAUAGCUGGUUCUCCCCGAAAGCUAUUUAGGUAGCGCCUCGUGAAUUCAUCUCCGGGGGUAGAGCACUGUUUCGGCUAGGGGGCCAUCCCGGCUUACCAACCCGAUGCAAACUGCGAAUACCGGAGAAUGUUAUCACGGGAGACACACGGCGGGUGCUAACGUCCGUCGUGAAGAGGGAAACAACCCAGACCGCCAGCUAAGGUCCCAAAGUCAUGGUUAAGUGGGAAACGAUGUGGGAAGGCCCAGACAGCCAGGAUGUUGGCUUAGAAGCAGCCAUCAUUUAAAGAAAGCGUAAUAGCUCACUGGUCGAGUCGGCCUGCGCGGAAGAUGUAACGGGGCUAAACCAUGCACCGAAGCUGCGGCAGCGACACUGUGUGUUGUUGGGUAGGGGAGCGUUCUGUAAGCCUGUGAAGGUGGCCUGUGAGGGUUGCUGGAGGUAUCAGAAGUGCGAAUGCUGACAUAAGUAACGAUAAAGCGGGUGAAAAGCCCGCUCGCCGGAAGACCAAGGGUUCCUGUCCAACGUUAAUCGGGGCAGGGUGAGUCGACCCCUAAGGCGAGGCCGAAAGGCGUAGUCGAUGGGAAACAGGUUAAUAUUCCUGUACUUGGUGUUACUGCGAAGGGGGGACGGAGAAGGCUAUGUUGGCCGGGCGACGGUUGUCCCGGUUUAAGCGUGUAGGUGUGUGUUCCAGGUAAAUCCGGUUCACUUUAACAC
rnacentral:rRNA from 1 species